GACGAACGCUGGCGGCGUGCUUAACACAUGCAAGUCGAACGGAAAGGCCCUGCUUUUGUGGGGUGCUCGAGUGGCGAACGGGUGAGUAACACGUGAGUAACCUGCCCUUGACUUUGGGAUAACUUCAGGAAACUGGGGCUAAUACCGGAUAGGAGCUCCUGCUGCAUGGUGGGGGUUGGAAAGUUUCGGCGGUUGGGGAUGGACUCGCGGCCUAUCAGCUUGUUGGUGGGGUAGUGGCUUACCAAGGCUUUGACGGGUAGCCGGCCUGAGAGGGUGACCGGCCACAUUGGGACUGAGAUACGGGCCAGACUCCUACGGGAGGCAGCAGUGGGGAAUAUUGCACAAUGGGCGGAAGCCUGAUGCAGCAACGCCGCGUGCGGGAUGACGGCCUUCGGGUUGUAAACCGCUUUCGCCUGUGACGAAGCGUGAGUGACGGUAAUGGGUAAAGAAGCACCGGCUAACUACGUG
rnacentral:rRNA from 1 species